CCUACGGGUGGCAGCAGUGGGGGAUAUUGCACAAUGGGGGAAACCCUGAUGCAGCGACGCCGCGUGGGCGAAGAAGGAUUUCGGUAUGUAAAGCCCUAUCAGCAGGGAAGAAGAAAUGACGGUACCUCAUUAAGAAGCACCGGCUAAAGACGGGCCAGCAGCCGAGGUAAUACGUAUGGUCGAAGCGUUAUCCGGAUUUACUGGGUUUAACGGGAGCGCAGGCGGCACGGCAAGCCAGAUGUGAAAGCCCACGGCCCAACCGCGGGACUGCAUUGGGAACUACCGGGCUGGAGUGCCGGAGAGGUAGGCGGAAUGCCUAGUGUAGCGGUGAAAUGCGUAGAUAUUAGGAGGAACACCAGUGGCGAAGGCGGCCUACUGGUCGGUGACUGACGCUGAGGCUCGAAAGCGUGGGGAGCAAACAGGAUUAGAUACCCGGGUAGUC
rnacentral:rRNA from 1 species